AGCAGCCGCGGUAAUUCCAGCUCCAAUAGCGUAUAUUAAAGUUGUUGCAGUUAAAAAGCUCGUAGUUGAAUUUCGGGGUUAGUAGGUUGGUCAUGCCUCUGGUAUGUACUGGUCUCACUGAUUCCUCCUUCCUGAUGAGCCGUAAUGCCAUUAAUUUGGUGUUGCGGGGAAUUUGGACUGUUACUUUGAAAAAAUUAGAGUGUUUAAAGCAAGCUAACGCUUGAAUACAUUAGCAUGGAAUAAUGAAAUAGGACGUUCGAUCCUAUUUUGUUGGUUUCUAGGAUUGACGUAAUGAUUAAUAGGGAUAGUUGGGGGCAUUAGUAUUCAAUUGUCAGAGGUGAAAUUCUUGGAUUUAUUGAAGACUAACUACUGCGAAAGCAUUUGCCAAGGAUGUUUUCAUUAAUCAAGAACGAAAGUUAGGGGAUCGAAGACGAUCAGAUACCGUCGUAGUCUUAUCCAUAAACUAUGCCAA
rnacentral:misc_RNA from 1 species